CACGCAUGACACACUGCAUAUCAAUAAGCGGAGGAAAAGAAACUAACAAGGAUUCCCUUAGUAACGGCGAGUGAAGCGGGAAGAGCUCAAAUUUGAAAUCUUCAAGGUUCUACCUUGACGAAUUGUAGUUUAUAGAAGUGUUUUCUGUUAGUAGAGUGGCAAAAGUUCUUUGGAAUAGGACAUCAUAGAGGGUGAGAAUCCCGUAUUUGGUCAUUCUUUCUAGCUUUGUGAUACACUUUCAACGAGUCGGAUUGUUUGGGAAUGCAGUCCAAAAUGGGUGGUAAAUUUCAUCUAAAGCUAAAUAUUGGCGAGAGACCGAUAGCGAACAAGUACCGUGAGGGAAAGAUGAAAAGAACUUUGAAAAGAGAGUUAAACAGUACGUGAAAUUGUCAAAAGGGAAGCGUUUGACACCAGUGUUGUUUUUCCGAAAAUCAAUUACGAAUGUUUUAUUUUUGAGAAGUUAUGACUUCAUCGGCUUGCUUCUUUCUUUAUCGAAACUUUCUUAAUGCACUUUUCGGUUAACAAGUCAACAUCAAUUUCUUUUGUUGUAAAAGGGUAUGAGGAAGGUGGCUUUCUUUUCGGAGAAAGUGUUUAUAGCCUUGUACCUCUGCAAUCGGAGAGAUUGAGGUCUGCAGCGUAGAUCCUUCGGGGUUAGAUACAUUUGUGCUAAGUUAUAGCUUUUCAUAGACAACUUGUUGACUAUGUUUAGUCUUGUAGCUUACUCGCUUACGCUAUUUUACCUACGCUUAGGAUGUUGAGCGCAUGUCUCUCUCU
rnacentral:rRNA from 1 species